UAUGGCCACAUCAUGUUCAAACAUCCGUUCCCGUACGAUCACCGAAGUUAAGCAAUGUUGUGCCUGAUCAGUACCAAGAUGGGUGACUGCUUGGGAAUACAAGAUGCUGUAUG